rnacentral:rRNA from 1 species
UACAUAGGAGGCUAGCGUUGUCCGGAAUCAUUGGGCGUAAAGAGCGUGUAGGCGGUCCGGUAAGUCCGCUGUGAAAGUCGGGGGCUCAACCCUCGAAUGCCGGUGGAUACUGUCGGGCUAGAGUGCGGAAGAGGCGAGUGGAAUUCCUGGUGUAGCGGUGAAAUGCGCAGAUAUCAGGAGGAACACCUAUUGCGAAGGCAGCUCGCUGGGACGUAACUGACGCUGAGACGCGAAAGCGUGGGGAGCAAACAGG